GCUUUUGAAAGAUGGUUUCGGCUAUCGCUUACAGAUGGGCCCGCGGUGCAUUAGCUAGUUGGUAGGGUAAUGGCCUACCAAGGCAACGAUGCAUAGCCGACCUGAGAGGGGGAUCGGCCACACUGGGACUGAGACACGGCCCAGACUCCUACGGGAGGCAGCAGUAGGGAAUCUUCCGCAAUGGACGAAAGUCUGACGGAGCAACGCCGCGUGUAUGAAGCAGGCUUUCGGAACGUAA
rnacentral:rRNA from 1 species